ensembl:lncRNA
AUGGUCUAUGGGGAUCUAUGGGGCUCUAUGGGGCACUAUGGGGUUCAUAUGCGGAUUCUAUGGGGCUCUAUGGGGUUCAAUGGGGUUCUAUAGGAUUUUAUAUAGCGGUUCUAUGGGGUUCAAUGGGUUCUAUGGGGUUCUAUGGGGCUCUAUGCGGCUCUAUGGGGCUCUAUGGGCACUAUGGGUGUCUAUAGGCUUCCAAUUGGAGUCUAUGGGGCUCUAUGGGGCUCUAUGGGGUCUGAAUGGCGGACUUAAUGGGGCUCUAUGGCGGCACUAUGGGGCUCUUAUGCGGGUCUAUGGGCAUCUUAUGGGCUCUAUGGGGCACUAUGGGAUUCUAUGGGGCUCUUAUGGGGUUCAAUGGGUCUAUAGGGUUUAUCGGGUUUCUAUGGCGGUUCAAUGGGGUUCUUAUGGGUUCUGAUGGGUCUAUGGGGUUCUAUGGGUUCUAUGGGGUUCAAUGGGGUUCUAUGGGGUGCAAAUGGGGCUCUAUGGGGCUCUAUUUGGGGUUGCUAUGGGGUUCUGCCUGAUGGGGUUUCUAUGGCAUUCUAUUGGGGCUCUAUGGGGUUCUAUGGGGCUCUAUGGGCUACUAUGGGGCUCUAUGGGUCUAAUGGGAUCUAUGGGCUCUAUGGGCACUAUGGGGUUCUAUGGGAUUCUAUGGGGCUCUAUGGGGUUCAAUGGGGUCUAUAGGGUUUUAUAGGGUUCUAUGGGGUUCAAUGGGGUUCUAUGGGGUUCUAUGGGGUCUAUGGGGUUCUAUGGGGCUCUAUGAGGUUCUAUGGGGUUCUAUGGGGUUCAAUGGGGUUCUAUGGGGUUCAAUGGGGCUCUAUGGGGCUCUAUGGGGCACUAUGGGGUUCUAUGGGGCUCUAUGGGGCUCCAUGGGGUUCUGUGGGGCUCUAUGGGGCUCUAUGGGGUUCUAUGGGGUUCUAUGGGGCUCUAUGGGGUUCUAUGAGGCUCUAUGGGGUUCUAUAGGGUCUAUGGGGCUCUAUGGGGUGUCUAUGGCACCCUAUGGAGCUCUAUGGGGCUCUAUGGUUUCUAUAGGGUUCAGUGGGGCUCAAUGGGGCUCUAUGGGGAUCUAUGGGGCUCUAUGGGGAUCUAUGGGUCCCUAUGGGACACUGUGGGGUUCAAUGGGGCUCUAUGGGGCUCUAUGGGGUUCUAUGGGGUUCUAUGGGGCUCUAUGGGGCUCUAUGGGGUUCUAUGGGGCUCUAUGGGGCUCUAUGGGGCUCUAUGGGGUUCUAUGGGGCUCUAUAGGGUUCUUUAGGGCUCUAUGGGGUUCUAUGGGGCCCUACAGGGGUCUAUGGGGCUCUAUGGGGCUCUAUGGGGCUCUAUGGGGCUCUAUGGGGCUCUAUGGGGUUCUAUGGGGAUCUAUGGGGCUCUAUGGGGCUCUAUGGGGUCUAUGGGGCUCUAUGGGGAUCAAUGGGGCUCUAUGGGGCUCUAUGGGGUUCUAUGGGGCUCUAUGGGGUUCUAUGGGGUUCUAUGGGGUCUAUGGGGUGUCUAUAGGGUUCAAUGGGGCUCUAUGGGGCUCUAUGGGGUCUAUGGGGAUCUAUGGGGCUCUAUGGGGCUCUAUGGGGUUCUAUGGGGUUCUAUGGGGCUCUAUGGGGUUCUAUGGGGUUCUAUGGGGCUCUAUGGGGUUCUAUGGGGUUCUAUGGGGUCUCUAUGGUCUGUCAUGGGCCUAUGGGGCUCUAUGGGGUUUUCUAUGGGGCUCUAUGGGGGUUCUAUGGGCUCUAUGGGGCUCUAAUGCGGGUUUUAUGGGCUCUAGGGGUCUAUGGGUGUCUAAUGGGUUCUUAUGGGGUCCUAUAUGGGUUUUCUAUGCGGGCUUUUGGC